ACAGAGAGGUAUCCCAGGCCGAGGGAAUCACCUGGGCAAAAGCCGGGGGGUGGGAGGGAGUGUGGAAUGUUUGUGUACCAGCAGGUCCUAGUUCAGGAGAGGGAAGAGUGGGUGUUGUGAGUCUGUGGGGGACCUGGGUGUCCAGGCAUGAGGUCAAAGAGAUAAUAGGCAUGGACCUCAUAGUCCAAGUGGGGCUCUAGCCAUGGGGAGCCACUGAGGGGUUAAGCAGGCAGAAGCCCCGCCAGCUCCUGAUUGGGUUUCAUCAGCCCAGCCUGUGGUUCCGCAGCAGCCUACCCAGCUGGGGCCUUUCUCCUGGCUCCCUUGGCCCAGGGAGCUCCCACUCAUUAUUCCACUGGGCAGAAGAACCAGCCCUUCUCAGCUCCUGGAAAGUGACUCUAUUGCUCCACUGGUCCUGGGACUUCCGCUUCAAGGAUAGCUGAACACAGCCUGUUCCUAGAUGUUGUAGUUCUUUGACUCAAGGAUUUACUGGAUGGACAGUGGCCUCAUAGGAGGGAAAGGAGCAUUUGGAACAGCCAGAAGAGAAGGCCCUAGAUUAAGCCUGGGCCAGUGACAGAGCCUCACCGUCUGGGGAUGGACAUUUCCCCAGGAAGUGCCACUGAAAUGAAAGUUACAGCUCACCUUCCCAGUGAUAUUAGUGACAGCUGGGCAGCACAACUUCUCUGCAGCCUUCCGUCACCACAGCUCAUCUUGAAGCUCUGACUGCAUGUUGCCAGUGUUUAAAAUCAGAGUUUGGGGUGAGUGAAUGUGGCAGGGGAAACCCUCCCUUGAGUUUUGAUUAUACCUAGGAUUAUUGGAUAUUAAGUUCGGAGAAAUAAAGACAUUCAAGAACAUAAAUGGGAGUUCCCG
rnacentral:lncRNA from 1 species